rnacentral:lncRNA from 1 species
ACAGUCACAUAGUUCGCUACCCCAGUGAGAGUGAGGAGCACUCUGUUGUCUCUCUGCUCAUCAGUAGCACGGAACUACCUUACCUAUUCACACCGAAUUUCCCACCAUCUUCAGUGGAGUGGGAGCACUAAAUGUUCGCUAAGUGUCCAGGAGGAAUGGCUGGGGAUGACUGGGAGAGCAGCACCUGAGGGGCCUUGCUCUUGGUAGUAGUGAAGGCCGAUGCAGUAGCCUCCUAUGAGAAUAGAUGACUGAAGGCCAGGCUCAACAAUGUCCAUCUUGGCAAAGCAUCAUUUAAA